GGGGAUUUAGCUCAGUGGUAGAGCGUUUGCCUAGCAGGCACAAGGCCCUGGGUUCGGUCCCCAGCUCUG
rnacentral:tRNA from 1 species